rnacentral:sRNA from 1 species
CCAGCUAGCCCAGACUAGGAUCUUAACGGGGGCUGGGACUUACUUCCAUAUAUUGUAAAUGAUGUAACCUUGUCUUCAUGAUGACCUUAAAUAUAUCUUGAUGAACAGUAUAAGAAAGCAAAUGAAGCCUGGGCGUGAGCCAACGCACCCAGCCUGGCUGAGCACUUUCAAGUCUCAUUCCUAACAUCUGUCAGUUAAGCUGGGAUAACAAUUAUCUGACUGACUGCACGGAAUUCUGAAUGAAUUGAAUUGGAUAAUACAUGUAAAUCCUUGUGGUGGGAAUUUGGGUGCCAU